AGUGAACGCUGGCGGUAGGCCUAACACAUGCAAGUCGAACGGCAGCACAGUAAGAGCUUGCUCUUACGGGUGGCGAGUGGCGGACGGGUGAGGAAUACAUCGGAAUCUACUUUUUCGUGGGGGAUAACGUAGGGAGACUUACGCUAAUACCGCAUACGACCUACGGGUGAAAGCAGGGGAUCUUCGGACCUUGCGCGAUUGAAUGAGCCGAUGUCGGAUUAGCUAGUUGGCGGGGUAAAGGCCCACCAAGGCGACGAUCCGUAGCUGGUCUGAGAGGAUGAUCAGCCACACUGGAACUGAGACACGGUCCAGACGCCUACGGGAGGCAGCAGUGGGGAAUAUUGGACAAUGGGCGCAAGCCUGAUCCAGCCAUACCGCGUGGGUGAAGAAGGCCUUCGGGUUGUAAAGCCCUUUUGUUGGGAAAGAAAAGCAGCAGGUUAAGACCCCGCUGUUCUGACGGUACCCAAAGAAUAAGCACCGGCUAACUUCGU
rnacentral:rRNA from 1 species